UACGAUUGUCAUAGAUAGUCGAGGACAUUGAAGUAGAUAAGGACACUUAUGGUUGUAUCAUGAGAGGCACCCAACCCAUGCACACAUGAGAUUGCUGAGUAUAAGAAGCACAGGUUGCUUUAUUCCUUCGCUAGCAAUUGAUCAUCGUUGGUUGAAGCUUGACUUUAAGUGAAGCCCUAUUGGAGAACUAGCAUAUGACCUGAAUCUCACACCCAAGUUGGAUGUAUUAUGAAAAAAGUUCAAUGCAAGUGAUACACAGAUGGCAAGAUGAUAGUAAAACGAAAGCUAAGAUGGCAAGAUGAUUGUAAAAAGAAAGCUAAGUGAUGCGGCGGGGUAUCUGUUUAAGCCGUGGCCUCGGGGCCGACGCGGCUCGGUUCGGGGGUCCGGAUGUCGGGGAUCUCGGGCGGCGUCCCUCGAGGUCUCCCGGCGGCCGAGCGCGGUAGUUCGAUCGGCAGGUCGGGUCGGCAGGUCAGGUCGACAGGUCGGGUCGGGAGAAAGCUCCGCCGCAGCGCCGGGAAGAGUGGUUCGGGUCGAGAGUUCGGGUCGGCAGGUCGGGUCGGCGGGUCGGGUCGGGAGAAAGCUCCACCGCAGCACCAGGUAGAGUCGACCCCAUAUGGCACCUGCACAAAGGUCGGGCCGAGGCGCUCGGCCCGACCCCUCCGACGGCCAAGUUAGUGAUGUGGAGAUGGUUUUGGAGGAAGAGAUGCCUCCAUACAAGUGUUGUGUUUGAGUUCGUCCUCUCC
rnacentral:lncRNA from 1 species